rnacentral:rRNA from 1 species
GCACAAGCGGUGGAGCAUGUGGUUUAAUUCGACGCAACGCGAAGAACCUUACCUGGGUUUGACAUCCCGAUCGUACUCUAUGGAAACAUAGGGGUCAGUUCGGCUGGAUCGGUGACAGGUGCUGCAUGGCUGUCGUCAGCUCGUGUCGUGAGAUGUUGGGUUAAGUCCCGCAACGAGCGCAACCCUUGUCCUUAGUUGCCAUCAUUGAGUUGGGCACUCUAAAGAGACUGCCGGUGUCAAACCGGAGGAAGGUGGGGAUGACGUCAAGUCCUCAUGGCCUUUAUGACCAGGGCUACACACGUACUACAAUGGCCGGUACAAAGGGCAGCGACACAGCGAUGUGAAGCCAAUCCCGAAAAGCCGGUCUCAGUCCGGAUUGGAGUCUGCAACUCGACUCCAUGAAGUUGGAAUCGCUAGUAAUCGCGGAUCAGCACGCCGCGGUGAAUACGUUCCCGGGCCUU